AGUAAUUGCUGCCAGCCGAGCCAAGGACGGGCAAGUUAGGCGAGCAACCAUCCAAACAGCAUCAGGGAUAUACGAACGACCUGCCAUCAAGGUGGCGGUGCUUGACGUCGGCGUUAAACAAAGUACUCUUCAGGAAGAUCUUCAGCGUACUGGGGGGGGAGUGUUGUGUACGCCACCGCAAGAAUUGCGCCCUUUGCAUAGUUAGAUACGAAUGUCAAUGAUAGAUAGACGAUGACAGAUCAGAGGAUUCAGAAAAGAUAAAAGAUUGGGCAGUAGCUAUAUUUGGAAAGUGAAUUCAUUAUUAUAUUUAAUAAAAACUUAUCCUACUUACAUUAUUAUAAUUCCAUAUUCUACUUAUAAUUAAGAGGAAAGUUCAUGCAGCAGAAGGUAAACGCUAUCUGGCGAUUUCUUACAUGAGGUUUCUACCAUUGUUUGUACAAGUUGUUAGCAUUCGUUGGUCAAUGUACGUGCAAAGGCAUUUAGGAACGGAAGAAAGCGGAAAGAGGAAUACUAAAUGAUUUUUUUAUGCGGCUCAAUACAAACGUAUUAAAAACACAGAACCACUUCUUCUUUCCCGUUGGUUACGUGCGGACGUAACAGU